AUUGAACGCUGGCGGCAGGCUUAACACAUGCAAGUCGAACGAGUGGCGGACGGGUGAGUAAUGCCUGGGAAUCUGGCUUAUGGAGGGGGAUAACUACGGGAAACUGUAGCUAAUACCGCGUACCAUAGGAUGAGCCCAAGUGGGAUUAGGUUGUUGGUGAGGUAAAGGCUCACCAAGGCGACGAUCUCUAGCUGGUCUGAGAGGAGGACCAGCAACACUGGGACUGAGACACGGCCCAGACUCCUACGGGAGGCAGCAGUGGGGAAUAUUGCACAAUGGGGGCAAGCCUGAUGCAGCCAUGCCGCGUGUAUGAAGAAGGCCUUCGGGUUGUAAAGUUCUUUCGGUAGGGAGGCGUUACCUGCAGAAGAAGCACCGGCUAACUCCGUGCCAGCAGCCGCGGUAAUUC
rnacentral:rRNA from 1 species